AUUGAACGCUGGCGGCAGGCCUAACACAUGCAAGUCGAGCGGAUGAAGGGAGCUUGCUCCUGGAUUCAGCGGCGGACGGGUGAGUAAUGCCUAGGAAUCUGCCUGGUAGUGGGGGAUAACGUCCGGAAACGGGCGCUAAUACCGCAUACGUCCUGAGGUCGAAAGUGGGGGAUCUUCGGACCUCACGCUAUCAGAUGAGCCUAGGUCGGAUUAGCUAGGUGGUGGGGUAAAGGCCUACCAAGGCGACGAUCCGUAACUGGUCUGAGAGGAUGAUCAGUCACACUGGAACUGAGACACGGUCCAGACUCCUACGGGAGGCAGCAGUGGGGAAUAUUGGACAAUGGGCGAAAGCCUGAUCCAGCCAUGCCGCGUGUGUGAAGAAGGUCUUCGGAUUGUAAAGCACUUUAAGUUGGGAGGAAGGGCAGUAAGUUAAUACCUUGCUGUUUUGACGUUACCAACAGAAUAAGCACCGGCUAACUUCGUG
rnacentral:rRNA from 1 species